GGGGGAUUUAAUCCAAGGGGGGUGGUGGUGGGGGUGUGGGUAACUUCAAGAAAAUUGGUUUAUUCCUCACAGAGACUUAAAUUAGUCGAGUGGAGUGAAUGUAUACAGCUUGAUUUGGACAAAACAGGCAAAUAAAAACACAUUUUUGAUUAUUAUUAUUUUCCAUUGACCGGAGUCAUGCGUGGACAUUAAAAGCCCGUUCCGAUGUUCGUCCGACACCAGAUGCUCACCAGACCCUCUCUGCGCUCCUAACUUCAGGCUGCUGGGCUCUUUACAGCGGGAGGGGACUGGGGGGUGGGGGUGGAGGAGGAUGGGAGAAGAGGAACACGUAAUCACCCAAACAUCCGUUGUUACCCACUUCGCCCCCUCUGGAUCUGUGUGGCAAGGUAAGAAAAAAGGCUACCCAGCUCGGCCCUGUUUGCUUUGAGAAGCGCAGCCUUGUACAGCUCCUCUCCUCUCCUCCCUCUCCCUGCAGCUGCGCCUCACUGCGGAUACCGAGCAGAGGGAGGCCGGCUGGCGAGCAAGCUCCCGCUAAACCAGGCUCACGUGAUUCUCCCUCAGCAAAAUUAAUUAUCACCCUUGCCCCCAAGAAAACAGUUAAAACAGAGGUACAUCUUUUUCUCCACAAAGAAAAGGUAAAAUUGUCUGUUUCACUUUUUAUGAUACACAGCAGACAUAUUAGGUCAUUUAGUAUUUUCUCCUAUGCUGUGGCUGUAAAUUUGUGUUUAUAA
ensembl:lncRNA